GGACGAACGCUGGCGGCGUGCUUACCACAUGCAAGUCGAACGGGAUCCAAAGGCUUUUUGUUUUUGGUGAGAGUGGCGAACGGGUGAGUAACACGUGAGUAACCUGCCCCCUUCUUUUGGAUAACCGCAUGAAAGUGUGGCUAAUACAGGAUAUUCCAGGCUGGUCGCAUGAUUGGUUUGGGAAAUGGUUUGGUCUGGUGGGGGAUGGGCUCGCGGCCUAUCAGCUUGUUGGUGGGGUGAUGGCCUACCAAGGCGGUGACGGGUAGCCGGCCUGAGAGGGUGGGCGGUCACACUGGGACUGAGAUACGGCCCAGACUCCUACGGGAGGCAGCAGUGGGGGAUUUUGCACAAUGGGCGCAAGCCUGAUGCAGCGACGCCGCGUGAGGGAUGAAGGCCUUCGGGUUGUAAACCUCUUUCGCUGGGUUGAAAGGCCAUGCUUUGGGUGUGGUUGAUUUGAACUGGUAAAGAAGUACCGGCUAACUACGUG
rnacentral:rRNA from 1 species